AAUAGAUACCCGGGUAGUCCACGCCGUAAACGAUGAGUACUAGUUAUUGGAGGUAUUGACUCCUUCAGUGACGCAGCUAACGCAUUAAGUACUCCGCCUGGGAAGUACGGUCGCAAGACUAAAACUCAAACAAAUUGACGGGGGCCCGCACAAGCGGUGGAUUAUGUGGUUUAAUUCGAAGCAACGCGCAGAACCUUACCUAGGCUUGAACUCCUACGAAUCCGGGGUAAUGCCUGGAGUGUCCGCAAGGAAAUGUAGUGAGAGGUGCUGCAUGGCUGUCGUCAGCUCGUGUUGUGAAAUGUUGGGUUAAGUCUCGCAACGAGCGCAACCCCUAUCGUCUGUUGCCAGCAUUAAGUUGGGCACUCUGACGAGACUGCCUGGGUUAACCAGGAGGAAGGUGGGGAUGACGUCAAGUCCUCAUGGCCCUUAUGUCUAGGGCUACACACGUAAUACAAUGGCGCGUACAAAGGGAAGCGAACUCGCAAGGGGAAGCAAAUCUCAAAAAGCGCGCCUCAGUUCGGAUUGGAGU
rnacentral:rRNA from 1 species